CCUACGGGAGGCAGCAGUCGGGAAUAUUGGACAAUGGGCGAAAGCCUGAUCCAGCCAUGCCGCGUGAGUGAUGAAGGCCCUAGGGUUGUAAAGCUCUUUUGUGCGGGAAGAUAAUGACGGUACCGCAAGAAUAAGCCCCGGCUAACUUCGUGCCAGCAGCCGCGGUAAU
rnacentral:rRNA from 1 species